GGGGCCGACUGGUUUUGACAGCAUAGGGCAGGGUAAGUAAGCAUGUCGUGCGUUGGAUAAUUAGCACGUAAAUCUGAAUAUUCGAACUUUAAAUGGCGAAUCUAACUACGCCAUGGCUGCUUAAUUAGUAAUUAAGUAACCAUUUUGGCCGCGGACAACCUUUGCUUGUUGUCGUUGCCGCCGCCUAACUCAACCUACAACAAGACAAGUCCUGCUGCGCUGCGAAGCAGGAACGGAAACCAAAGCAGAUAAGGAAGCCGUAAGUUCGUCCGGUUCUGGCGUCUUCCCGACAAUUGAUUCCGGAAUACACAUGUAGAAAGCUUAUCGGGCAUAUGUUUGGACGCGGGUUCGAAUCCCGCCGGUUCCACUA
rnacentral:tmRNA from 1 species